rnacentral:tRNA from 1 species
GCCAGCGUGGCGUAGUGGUUUGAGCACUGGACAACGACCCUGGAGACCAGGGUUUGAUUCCCAGCUUGGCC